GGCUAGUUAGUGACACGCGGAGGCUGGACACGGGGCAGCCCGAUCACCUGCGCGCAGCCAUGUCGGGCAAAACCCGGCUCCCCAGCCGGGAGCAAGCGCUGCCAGGCAGGCCGCAGAGACUCCCCGUGUCAGCCAAACAUGCCGUCAGCGGGAACGCGACGCUCCCGCCGUUCCCAGAGGGAAUGCAGAUGGCCGUUUUCGGCAUGGGAUGUUUUUGGGGAGCCGAGAAGAUGUUCUGGAACUUGCCAGGCGUCUUCUCCACCCAGGUGGGCUACGCAGGAGGCUUCACCCCAAACCCCACCUACAAAGAAGUCUGUACAGGUCUGACCGGACACGUGGAAGUGGUCAGGGUUGUGUACGACCCACAGAAGACCAGCUACGAGGCCCUCCUCAAAGCCUUCUGGGAGAACCAUGACCCCACCCAAGGCAUGCAGCAAGAGGAGGAUGUCGGCACACAGUAUCGCUCAGUCAUCUACACGUUUGGAGCCCAGCAGAGGGAUGCUGCCCUGAAGUCGAAGGCGAUGUAUCAACAGCUGCCAGACCGAGAAAGAGCCAAUCCCAGACCCAGCCACAAGGAGGCGCCCCUGCGGCGAGUGCACCCGGUUACAAGCUGGCCACGCUGUGAAAUGUCUCUGUGCCCAUGAGCUGCUGUCACCUUCCUCGGCUCCGUGCCGCCUAGCAUCCGGCUGGGGCGUUGGCGUCUCCUGACUUUCACCUGCUGAAUCGCUGGCGCCACUUCUGGCAUCACCAUGUGCUUUCCUCGGUCGUCUCCUGUCCAAAUCCUGUGUAACCUGAUGGGGCGUAGGGUGCUCCGGGCACCGAAAUCUGCAUGCGGGCUCGUCUUUGGAAGGCAUCAUGCGACGCUAUGAGUCUCCAUGCUCCCACCUGGCGGGAUCGCUGCACUUUUAAAUACCCAUGAAUGGAAAGGACACGGGCAGAUGAAGACGGGGCGAAUGGCUAAGGCGGAAUUACGAUCAUGCUGCGUGUCAUCAGAGACGCCUCUUCGAUCUCACGUCUCAGGAAGGGUUAAGCGGCUUACAGGAAGGGGGCUGGAUGGACAGCGGGCUUGGCUGCAUGCCCUUGCAUCCCUACGUGGCAGCUUUGAUUCCAGCCAGGUUCUUUGGUGUGCUCUCCAGGGGCCCAACUUGAGUUCCAGGGAGGCUUUCCACUGACUCCAGCGGAAGUUGGAUCAGGCUCUGAGCCUGGCGUGGCUGCCAGACAGCGUGAGCGAGUCGGCCCGUGGAAGCUGCCAUCCUGGUCUCUCCGUCUUGGUGCCCUGGUGAAAGAUGGGGAACCUUGGCACAGAGACAUUCAGUGACUUGCCCGGAAUCCCAAAGGAAAUUUUUGAACCUGCAUCUCCUGAGUCCCAGCCCCAUGCGUCACCACAAGACUAGCCUCCCUUCUCCGGGAAAACACCCUCCAGGGGCAAAGCUGCUUUGGAGAAGACAAACAGGUUUAGAAAAAUAAGAAGCCGCCUCCUCCCCGCAAUCUCUGGCUCAUCUCUUGAACAGAACCUGAACCAAACCUUGCUGUAGUCUCUGAAAUGUAUGUCGGACUUUCCAUUCCAGCCCUCACAAAUAUCUCCCGUUGUUGUGACUGUCUCUAUACCCUGGGCUACUAGCCACAGGAGUGGACCUAGGAGCAUAAGAAUUCCCAGUGGAUCAAUAGCCUAUCACUGACCGUGGCUGGUACCAGAUGCUUUAGAGGAAGAUAUUUAUCCUAGUGUGGGUGAUGCUCUUCUUGCAAUAGAAAUGCCGAAUGAUUUUAGGAAUCCUCCCCAGCUUUUUCCUUGGCGAUAUAAUGGCGUCUCAGUGAGUCCCACAGGUGAGUCAGACGUUGUAUUUGAAAAGCUUCAUUUCCUUUAGUUAAUUGUGAAGAUAUUUUACAAGCCUCCUGAUGAAGGCUGCUCCCAUCAGAUUUCUAGCCCAGUGUUGUAGCUUUUAAACGGAUCAUAUCGUUAACUUUAAACAUCCAGACUGACGGAUGCUAAUCCAGACUCAAAACCCUUUGAUGUUCACCUGCCACUCGUUUCUGGGAGUGGAACCAUCACUAUUGUUGUUGUUUGUGCUGCAGCAGAGCCUCGGAGCCCCUGUCAUGGACCAUGGCUCCAGUGCGCUAGGUGCUGUACAGACACAGGCCAAAAAGCUGGUCCUUGCCCCAAACAGCUUCCAAUCUAACCUGGUAGCUGCCUAUGCUAUCCUAGCAAUCCAGGGCUGGAAGGGACCAUGAGAGGUCAUCUAGUCCAGCUCCCUCCAUCUUUAUUAAAGUCCGCUCUGACUUUGCUCCAUCUCCUACCAUGAUUUAAUCAUUUAAAAUAAUGGGUAAAGAAGAUGAAGGGAGGUAUCUGGCUUACUCUGGAAACACUACUGAGCUGUAGCUACGAAGCUGCCUAAUGCUGCGCUGGCUGCAUUGUACAGCAUCCCUGAGCCAGGUCCUGCUGUCGGUUACACAGUGUGGAGUUACUCCAGAUUUACAGCCAGGCAGCUGAGAGAAGAAUCCAUUCCUCUGUGUCCUGUAUCCGCAAGACUGGUUAUCGCAGCAGCAAUCACAGCACAUGGCGCCUGGUCUGGGUGGACUUGGAGAUACCCCGAACAAAUCAUUAGCCAGCGACCGAAGAAUAAUCACUCCCCAAGCGCUGCUCCAGGCUUACUCCUUCAAUCUGGUUCUCCAAACAAAGGCCGCAAGAAGCAACUGGGUCUAAACGUGAACUACGUUCCCCUUGGCAAAAAAAGCAAAAGAGACGCUUCUCUUAAGGCUUGAUCCAAUAAUGGAAAAGUUCCCAUGGCCUGAUCUGCCAGUAAAAUGAGCAUUGCGGGGGAAGCCCCCAUGCAGCACCGGCCUGCUGGAGUUUGGUCAUGUUUUUGGAGCAACUGGUUGAGAAGCCUGGGAUUUAAGAUGCUCCUUCAGUUGGGUUGAAAGAUUCUAAAGAAUCUGAGAACAAUUUUGGUCAAAAAACACAGUAGUUUAAGAUAGUCGACAGACCUAACGGAGACUUUUUAAUUGAUAGUUUCAUCGUGUCGCCCUAAAGUUAGAGGAAGGAGUAGGCUGUCGUGCCAGAUAUCCUAAAUGAUGUCAAACAAUUUAUUUACUGGGGUAGCAUUGUCUGGUAACAGCACAGGGCUGGGUGGCAGACCACCUGGGCUCCAUGCCCUGCUCGGCUACCAAUUUGCUCUCUGACCCUGGGCAUUUAGGCUCUGAUUUAGCAAUCCAUUGCUAUUCAGCACAACAUGCGCUUCAAGCCUAUUGAUUUCAACGGGCCAUGUGCUUACGUGCUGUGCUGAAUAGGGAUAGGUUUAAGCAUGUGCAUAAAUGCUUUGCUGAAUCGGGACCUUAACAUGUGGGCAUAAUUAGCAAAUGUUGCUUGUGUAGAUGCAGCCAAACCUACCAGUGUGGCAUGUGAGCCUAGCUCCAUAUGUUAUUCCUUCUCUUCCCCCCCCCCACCCCCCAACAUAUUGCAUGCCAGUUGUUUUGCCUAGGGUCAGAUGGGAAGAGGAUCCCAUUUGAGAAGAGAAUUCCACAACAUAUUUAAGGAAACCACUGCUUGUUUCUUAACCAGCUGCUCUAAUUUUUCCUCUGGCUUUAAAAUUAUCCAUUGAUUUUAAUAAAUUUGUCCCAGAUCCACAAGCGCAGACAAUUAGAAACAAAAAAGUAAAUUGGACGUAAGCAUAAACUUAAAGUUAAGCAUGUGCUUAAAUGCCUUCCUGAAUCAGGGCUCAAGUGAGUUUGCCUGGCCAGCUGUUUUUUUUUUCCCUAGCUGUUGUUUUGAUUGUGAAUAAGGGGACAGAAGUGAAGGUCCCAAAAGAUUUGGGACAAGAUUUGAGCCAGCCCUUGUCCAGAAAGUGAAUCCAGAUGACCACUGUGGAAGAACUGUCUUCUUUGUAAUUUUCUUGGGCAUAUAUCUCUGUUCCUCCUCCUCUCUUCUGUUCUAAAUCACUUUCAUGGAUGCAGCGCUGCCAGGAAUCCUGAAGAUGCCGGAGCCCUGAGAAAAUCCCCCAAAGCCUAAGUCCCUCUCCAACAGCUUGAGGUUAGGUUGGUAUGAUAAACUAAAUGCAACUCCCAUCCCAGUCUUCCAAUCAUCAGUCCUAUCCUCACUUCCAUUCUCCCACCCCAAAAUAUCACAUUCUGAGAGCCAGAAGCUUUACUCUAUUUCAUAUCCUGCCACCUCUGUUUUUUGUUCUGUUUUUAAAGGUUUGAGCUUAACAGAACUUCUCAUGGGCACAUUUGGCAGCAAUUUAUUUGAGAAAUUCCUAGAGAGAAGCAAGCCACAGAAAAAUCCCCAGAGUUGCAGAACUGAUGCAAAUUACAAUAUAUGUAGCAACCCAUAACUAGUAAAAGGGACUUCAGGGAAGGGGUGAGGAUGGGGUACAUUGCCUUACGGAGAAGUUAGUGAACAUUUAGAGCUGGAGAAGAGAGAGUUUGGGAGGGGAUGAUGGCUAUUCCCUGACUUUCCCCCUUUACAAAUGAUUCCAGGUGAAUCAAAGAGCCUAGGAGGCGAACACCAGUCCCUGUUGUGAGCUUUAUGGGACUUGUUCUGAAAAGUUCCCUCUCGGGGCAUAGCACUGUACUGAAACAACCAAUUUUUGUUAAUAAAACACACACAGCGUAGGCCUUUCUCUGCAUGAAAUCACUGCACUCCAGAGCUUUCGGGGGGGAGCAGGGGGGAAUUCUGCUUUGAGCCAAAAAAACUGACUUCAUGACUCCCCAACUUGCCUCAACUGUAAGUGAUAAUAAUAUUCUGAUUCUUGGCUUUCAAUAGGAAUCAGUUCCCAGAAAAGGCCAGAAAUGAUCCAGCCCCACCAAAUUGUAGUUUAAAAAAAAAAAAAGUGGGAGGGGGGGGAAGCAACAGCCUCGUGCAGAAAUGUUUGCGCGUUCCCAGAAUCGAAGCUAAUUUUGCUACUCAAGGUUCUAUUCCCCCAGCGAGGCCACGCCCCUUCGAACGCUAAAGCGCCUCCCCGGCCUCUCAUUGGCUGGGCUGCGAGGUUCCAGUUCGGUGGCUAUGGCGGCGGAAAGGUUGCCUUGGCCACGCAUCCCUGUGUGAAUGCAUGACGUUCGCAAGGCUGGCGCCAGGCUGUCUGGAGCGGAGAGUUAGAUCAACACAGCUGGAGGGAGACGGCCACAGCUGGGCAAAGGGAGCAGAUUCCUCAACAAAAAAUAGGAUUGUGAGAAAAGUUCUUAAACAAAAACAGUUCAAACAAAAGCCUUA